rnacentral:rRNA from 1 species
CAAUAGCGUAUACUAAAGUUGUUGCAGUUAAAAAGCUCGUAGUUGGAUUUCUGGUCGGAAGCUCCUGUCCUCUGAUGAGCGUACAAGUGCGUCCUACCAUCCUUCUGUUAACCUUUAAGGCUUUCGCGGCUUUCUAGGGGCUCAGAUAUUUUACCUUGAGAAAAUUAGAGUGUUUCAGGCAGGCUAGCGCCGGAAUACAUUAGCAUGGAAUAAUGGAAUAGGACUUUUGCCUCUUCUGUUGGUCAUGAGGCUCGAGUAAUGAUUAAUAGGGAUAGUUGGGGGCAUUAGUACUUAACUGUCAGAGGUGAAAUUCUCGGAUUUGUUAAAGACUAACUUAUGCGAAAGCAUUUGCCAAGGAUGUUUUCAUUAA